rnacentral:rRNA from 1 species
GCUUAGAGAGGGGUCAAUGUCCUAUCAGCUAGUUGGUAGGGUAAUGGCCUACCAAGGCUAAGACGGGUAGCCGGCCUGAGAGGGUGGUCGGCCACACUGGGACUGAGACACUGCCCAGACUCCUACGGGAGGCUGCAGUCGAGAAUCUUUCGCAAUGCCCGAAAGGGUGACGAAGCGACGCCGCGUGUGGGAAGAAGGCCUUCGGGUUGUAAACCACUGUCGGGAGUUAAGAAAUGCAAGGGUGUUAAUAGCAUCCUUGCUUGACUAAGGCUCCGGAGGAAGCCACGGCUAACUCUGUGCCAGCAGCCGCGGUAAUACAGAGGCGGCAAGCGUUGUACGGAAUUAUUGGGCGUAAAGAGCACGUAGGCGGCUUUGUAAGUCAGUUGUGAAAGCCUUCUGCUCAACGGAAGAACAGCAUCUGAUACUGCAAGGCUAGAGUGCGGAAGGG